rnacentral:rRNA from 1 species
CGUAGGUGGCAAGCGUUGUCCGGAAUUAUUGGGCGUAAGCGCGCGCAGGCGGUCCUUAAGUCUGAUGUGAAAGCCCACGGCUCAACCGUGGAGGGUCAUUGGAACUGGGGACUUGAGUACAGAAGAGGAAGCGGAAUUCCACGUGUAGCGGUGAAAUGCGUAGAGAUGUGGAGGAACACCAGUGGCGAAGGCGGCUUUCUGGUCUGUAACUGACGCUGAGGCGCGAAAGCGUGGGGAGCAAACAGGAUU